GGAGUUGUAUAGCUCAAUGGUAGAGCACGUGCCUUGAAUGCACAAGGUCCUGGGUUCAAUCCCCAGUGCCUUCA